CUUAACCAUAAAAUUAAGUUUCUUCUCUCUAUUUUUCUAUUUCUCUCCUCUUUUUAGGGUAAUCCCAGUUGACUCGUAUUUUAUUCUUUUAUCUCUCCUCUUUCACCUAAGGAUUUGAAUCUCAUCACCAAACCAGUCAAUAUAUUUUCUUUUCUUUCAACACAAACAUUAGUCGUCCACCUCUUUUUGGUGUUUUGAUCCCUUUGUUUUUUACAUAGAAGGUAUGGUAUACUAUUCUGGGGCUCUCUACAAUUCUUGUCUUCUUGUCUUCUUCUUUGCCUGUUUCAUGAAAUUUUUCAUAUUUUCCUGAUGAAAAUUGUGUAUAUCAUAUUUUUACAAUAGUUAUUUAAAUUAGUUAUUUACAUAUGUUGUUAUUUUUCAUUUACCCAUUACCCAUAUCAUAUUUAUUUAUGAACUAUUUUUUAUUAAGGAAAUGAAAGAAUCACGAUCCUUGAGUUCUUCAAACAGAUGGCUCAUUUGUUGCAGUGGAUUGGUUAUCUAUUGGAAGAACUCAAAAUAUGGAUUUUGUUUUUCAAACAAAUGUCCCAUCUGUUGCAACAAAUUGGUCAUCUGUUGGAAGAACUUAAAAAGCCUUGUUGGCACUAUUGGUGUUGUUUGUUUGUUUGGUAUUGGUUUUGUUAUUUGUUUUAUUUUGUUGAUAUUAUUGGUGUUGCUCGUAUUGUUGGUAUUGGUGUGGGUAUUCAUGUUGGUGGUGUUGGUGUUGCAAAAGGUUAAACAUAUGGUGGAAGAUAUUAAAAUAGGUCUUCCAGCAGAUGCCCCAUCUGUUCCAACUGAAGAAUCAACUGGUGGAAUAAAUCAAAAUAGCUCUUCUAAUAGAUGACCCAUAUAUUGCAACAAAUGGUUCACCUAUUGGAAGAAAUCAAACCACUAGAAAGAAUGGUUUGAUUUAUUCCAACAGAUCACCCAUUUAUUACAAUAGGUUGGUCAUCUGUUGCAAUAGAUGGGUCAUCAGUUGGAAUUCUAAUUUUAAUGUGUUGUAUUUAUUGAAUUUUGUGUUACCCUUUUUUAAAAUAAUACAGACAUCAAUUGUAUUAUUUUUUACUUUUCUCUUGUUUUUAAAUAAAAGAUGUCUCCCAAAAGAAAAUAAAGUGAAAGUGGAUCAAUUUUUGAUCGACCAAAAAAAAGCUAGAGUAUAGAUGAGUUUUGAGGAAUAAAGUACUUGCAGAUGGAACCAAUUCAUAUGUGAGAGGUAUGUAUUACUUAUUAGGUUAUCAUGACUGCAUACAGUACAAUGAUUUUAUAAAUUUUCUUUUUCACUGAUUAGGGAUUGAUCCUUCAAGCAAGAUAUUGAGUUUUAUAGUUAUGUUUGAUAGGUCCAAACAUAUAAAGCUGAGAGACCAAAAAUAUGGUGUCGAUACCCUGUUACAAUUUAAUAAUUGUUUUGCUAAUGUUUAUGUGUCAUGUUUUGGUAAGGUAUGAAGAUUUAAUGGUAGUGUAGAGAUUCAAUAGUGAUUGGAUUAAAUAUAAGGGUUCAAUGGAGUUUUGAAAGGCCUCCAAAGCCUCUUACAGCAAACAAGAAUGAAAAUCCCAAAGAAAUUGCCCUGGUCCAAAUUUUUAUAGAUGGGUUGCUCGAGGAGAUGAUUAUACAGUAGAUGGUGCUUGGAGAAUAUAUACGAGAGAUGGGGGAGUUGCUGAACACUAUAUCAACCCAGACAUUAUUAAAGAAAAGAAACACAGCAUAGCAAGGACUUUGUAGAAAAUCUGGCCGAUGAAAUUGACAUGUAAAAUGAAAAUUUGAAUAUGCUGCAAAAAUAAAAGUGUGUUCUAAAAUCAAAAUCCAUAACUUGUUGUUGAAAAUAAAAAUGGUAUAGUGGACUAAAUUGUGCUCUUUGCCAGUAACUAUGACUAGUGAGCAUGGUCUAAAUGAUCAGCCCCAAGAUAUAGAUUCCCAAGUCUAAGGAAGCUUCUUUGCGAGCACUAAUGGGAUGAUGAACAAUCAAGAAUGAAACUUGCGAUAGAACUACUGAAGAUAAAAUAAUGGAUCAAGCCAAGGUGUCGAUUUAUGAAGUUAAAGUUGCAUCUUAUGCCUUCAAUUUGUAGUUCUACUCAAGUCAUUAAAAAUGGACACAAAAAAGGUCUGAAGUUGAACAGAAAUCACAUGCCUUUUUGUUUCCAUUUUAAUUGACUUGAGUCGAACCACGAACAGAAGGCAUAAGAUGCAAAUUUAACUUCAAAAAUUGCCACAUUGGCUUGAUCCCUUAUUUAUCUUCAGUAGUUCUAUUGCAAGAUUCAUUCUUGAUUGUACAUUUUUCCUCCCUCGGUGUGCACAAAGAAACUUUCUUGCACUUGUAUUUUUUUCUUGGAGGUGAUCUAUUAGACCACACUAACUAGUUGUAGUUACUUAGAAAAGUGUAAGUCUCCAAUCCACUUUACCAUUUUUCUUUUCAAUAAUGAAUGACGAAUUUUCAUUUUUGAAUACACUUUCAUACUAGCAACUCAUUCAGAUUUUCAAUUUUCAAGCCAAUUUCAUUGGCCAGAUUCAUUAUAAGUUCAUUGCUACCCUAUGUUUCUUCUAUAAUAAGGUUUGAGAUGAUAUCGUCUUUAUUACCUCCCACUUCUCUUGAAGAUAUUCUCCUAAAUAACAUUCUGUUUUAUAAUCAGCACCCCGAGAAACCCAUACAUAUAAACUUUCAACGGGGGAAUUUCUAUUGGAUGUCCAUUCUUGUUUGCUGCAGUAAGAGGAUUUGAAGGCCUUCUAAAACUCCAUUGCACCAUUAAAAUCAGUCCAAUCACUUUUGAAUCACUAUACUGCCAACAAAUCUUGAUCCCUUUUCAAAAAAUAACAUAUAAACUUUAGCAAAAUAGUCAUUAAAUUAUAACAGGGUAUCGAUACCAUCUAUUUGGUCUCUCAACCUUAUCAGUUCGGACCUAUCACACUUAAAUGUAAAAUACAGGAUCUUAUUUGAAUGAUCAAUUCCUAAUCGAUAAAAAAUAACAUUCACAAAAUCAUUAUACAUUAUGUGUGUUGUUCUGAUAACUUGAUCAGUAAUAAAUACCUCCCACAUAUGAAAGUGAAUUCAUCCAUCUGCACGCACCUUAUUCUUCCUACCCCAUCAAUGAUAGAAAAAACUAUUUUAUUUUCAGUUCUUAUCAUAAAGUAGUCUACAAAACUACGGAGGCUCAAACGGUAAACAUCUUUAAAAUCCUUUUUCUUUUCUUUUCGGAAGGGUAUCAACAAUUUCAAAAACUAAAAACCUAUUGGAGAAACCCUUUCUAUUACUGGAUUGAGUUCUUCCAACAGAUGACCCAUCUGUUGCAAUAUAUGGGAAAAUUGUUGGAAGAACUCAAUCCAAUAGAAAUGGUUUAUAGUACUCAUAACAAAUGACCAAUCUAUCGCAACAAAUGGGUUAUCUGUUGGAACAACUGAAUCCAAGUUUUGUGUUCUUCCAAAAGAUGACCAAUCUGUUGCUACAGAUAGAUCAUCAGUUGGAAGAAUUCAAUAAAAAUGGUUAUUAAUAAAAACGAUUAUCAAAAAGGUGAAAAGUCAUAUUUUUUGAUUAUUUAAUAGAAAAAAUAGUUCGUACAUAAAUAAUAAGAAAAAAUGAUAAAUACAAUUUUAAAUUAUAAAAAAACACUUAUUUAAUUUUAAUAACUAAUGUUAAUAUUAAAAGGGCAAAAAGUCAUGACUUUUCACCAUUUUAUAUUUAAAUCUUUUUUUAAUUUAAAUAAUUGAAAAAUCACCAGUUUGAUUUAAUUAAGGGAUAUAAUUAAUAAAAAAGAGGUGAACAAUCGUAACUUUUUGCCUAACACAUUUAAAUUCUAUCCUUUAUAAAUGGGUCCUUACUCGUUCGUCUCCUCCACUUUAUUUAUUUCUUGCAUCCUGUCUUUGUCUUUUAUAAAAACACCAUUACAUAUUCAAUUGCUUCUCUUUCAAAAGCAAAUUCCUUUUUUGUCUGUUGAGGUAUGUUUUAUUUUCUUGUUCAAACAUGAAAAUUAUUAAUGUGUUAUGUUUUUUUUUGUAAAACUACCAGUUUGUAGUAUACAUUAUAUUUUUCUUUUUUAGUGUUUUACGUUUUUUAUUACUACAUGCAUUUUCUAGAUAUGACUGAUUUGGUUUGGGACAUGACGAUUUUGGUUGACACCAUGCGGGGAUUUCAAAGGUUGAUUCAUGAACUCUAGUAGGAGUUGGGUGCCACAUAAGCAAGGGUGCUUUGUGAGAUUCGAAGGCUGAGGGCCCUGCUGCUUCUCAAUGGAUUUUCGGUUGACAAUAAUAAUAAUAAUAAUAGUUAGGCUAUGUUUUUUCUUUUAUUGUAUGUAUUAUGUUUUAUUUGUAUCAAAUAUAUCUACC
rnacentral:lncRNA from 1 species